rnacentral:lncRNA from 1 species
GCCUAAAGGGCCUGGCAAGGCGGGGGCGGGUGGGGGGGGGAGGGUGGAACUUAGCUACUCCCAGGACCUGGGCAUCGAAUUUCCAUAAAGCCCUUUAUCUCCUUCUGCUGCGAUGUUAUCUCGCCUUUAAAAUGCUAAAUCGUUUAUAUAACCUUUGCUGAUUCACAAAAGGAAGGCGCUGCAGAUAAACAUGAAAACAGAGCGGGGCAGCUCAGGGGGAACACGCUUGGGGGAAUCCAGACUGUGGGUCCUUUAACGCGCUGACCUGCGGGGACUGUGGUGGAGCUCUGCCGCCAUCUAGUGGCAAUAAAGGAGAGGUGCGCCUCCGAGCCCCCGGAAAGCCAAGGACGUUUCACCCAGGCCAGGCGAGAGUCUCUGUCUGGGGUACAGCCCUCACCACACGGCGCCGUCAGAGGGGACAUUGAGGAGGGACGA